rnacentral:rRNA from 1 species
GAUGAACGCUGGCGGCGUGCCUAAUACAUGCAAGUCGAGCGAACAGACGAGGAGCUUGCUCCUCUGACGUUAGCGGCGGACGGGUGAGUAACACGUGGAUAACCUACCUAUAAGACUGGGAUAACUUCGGGAAACCGGAGCUAAUACCGGAUAAUAUAUUGAACCGCAUGGUUCAAUAGUGAAAGACGGUUUUGCUGUCACUUAUAGAUGGAUCCGCGCCGCAUUAGCUAGUUGGUAAGGUAACGGCUUACCAAGGCGACGAUGCGUAGCCGACCUGAGAGGGGGAUAGGCCACACUGGAACUGAGACACGGUCCAGACUCCUACGGGAGGCAGCAGUAGGGAAUCUGCCGCAAAGGGCGAAAGCUUGACGGAGCAACGCCGCGUGAGUGAUGAAGGUCUUCGGAUCGUAAAACUCUGUUAUUAGGGAAGAACAAAUGUGUAAGUAACUAUGCACGUCUUGACGGUACCUAAUCAGAAAGCCACGGCUAACUACGUG